rnacentral:rRNA from 1 species
GACGAACGCUGGCGGCGUGCUUAACACAUGCAAGUCGAACGAUGAAGAAAAGAAUCGAAGCUUCGGCAGAAAUUCAUUUCGGAUUAGUGGCAGACGGGUGAGUAACGCGUGAGCAACCUACCUCUUACAAAGGGAUAGCCUCGGGAAACCGGGAUUAAUACCAUAUAACAUUGUGACGAAGCAUUUCGAUGCAAUCAAAGCUACGGCGGUAAGAGAUGGGCUCGCGUCCCAUUAACCGGAUGGUGAGGUAACGGCUCACCAUAGUGACGAUGGGUAACCGGCCUGAGAGGGUGAACGGUCACACUGGAACUGAGACACGGUCCAGACUCCUACGGGAGGCAGCAGUGGGGAAUAUUGCACAAUGGAGGGAACUCUGAUGCAGCGACGCCGCGUGAGUGAUGAAGGAAUUCGUUUCGUAAAACUCUGUUCUAUGGGAAGAAAAGGACUGUACCAUAGGAGAAAGCUCCGGCUAAAUAUGUG